AUCUACUUUCAUUCCACCCUGAAUGCACCCGAUCUUGUGUGAUCUCAUAUGCUAAGGAGGGUCCCACCUGGGCCUGGCUAGUACUUGGAUGGGAGAAACUUAGGUUUCGGUC
rnacentral:rRNA from 1 species